AGAGUUUGAUCCUGGCUCAGAUUGAACGCUGGCGGCAUGCUUUACACAUGCAAGUCGAACGGCAGCGCGGGGCAACCUGGCGGCGAGUGGCGAACGGGUGAGUAAUAUAUCGGAACGUACCCAGAAGUGGGGGAUAACGUAGCGAAAGUUACGCUAAUACCGCAUACGAUCUACGGAUGAAAGUGGGGGACCUUCGGGCCUCAUGCUUGUGGAGCGGCCGAUAUCUGAUUAGCUAGUUGGUGAGGUAAAGGCUCACCAAGGCAACGAUCAGUAGCUGGUCUGAGAGGACGACCAGCCACACUGGGACUGAGACACGGCCCAGACUCCUACGGGAGGCAGCAGUGGGGAAUUUUGGACAAUGGGCGCAAGCCUGAUCCAGCAAUGCCGCGUGAGUGAAGAAGGCCUUCGGGUUGUAAAGCUCUUUUGUCAGGGAAGAAACGGCUGAGGAUAAUACCUUCGGCUAAUGACG
rnacentral:rRNA from 1 species